GACGAAGGGGGCUAGCGUUGUUCGGAAUUUCUGGGCGUAAAGCGUGUGUAGGUGGUUGCCAUAGUCAGGUGUGAAAGCCUUGAGCUCAACUCAAGAAAUGCACUUGAUACUGGGCAGCUAGAGGACCGGAGAGGAUAGUGGAAUUCCCAGUGUAGUGGUGAAAUACGUAGAGAUUGGGAAGAACACCAGUGGCGAAGGCGGCUAUCUGGACGGUUUCUGACACUAAGACACGAAAGCGUGGGGAGCAAACAGG
rnacentral:rRNA from 1 species